AUUCGUGUUGCAGUGUUUUAUAUUUAUACUUGAUCUUUUAGUAAACUGAGUUUUCUUUUUCUUUUUUUUUUUACAAAAAGGAAACGAAAAUGCAGAAAAUUGUUGUUGUUUUUUGCGUUUGCGAAAGAUAAAUAAACAUUUAAAAUAUUUCUGAGAGACAUUAAAUCCGACAUCCGGGAAAUGUACCAACGAAGAAGAACUCGCAUUGUUUUGUUUUCGACUAAGGAAGCUAAAGCUGCUAAGCUGUAGCGCUCGUCCCGUUCAAACGCGUCGUUUUUCCGAUAUAAAUAUUUCGGAUGAUCUCGAACCAGGUUUCUUUACUUGAGUAUUUGUAUCACCAUUGUCUCAAUGGUUUCAUUGUGUUUGGAAAGCUAAUUUGUUAGCUAAACAAGCUAGUUCGCUGAGUGUAAUGCUAAUAUUCCUGGAUUAGCAUUUUUUCGUUUAGCAGUGCAGAUUGCUCCAUGUCGAAUAUUGUUCUAGAAAGCUCCACUCGUUGUGUUUUUUUAUACUUUUAUCACGUUUAACACGUUUUCUGGUGGUUUAAAUAUCUUUGUGCAACGUUGAGGUUUUUCCCCCAAGAUAUAACGAAGAGGUCAUCAGGAUGGUUUGUGAGCUGCUGCUGUCCUCAGUCUGGCUGCUGUUUGUAGUUUUCUGGGUGGAGACCAUCAGUGUGUGGCUGUUCCUGUGUCUCUUCUAUCAGGACAGAGCUUUCUAUCACUGGGGUGAUGGUGUCUUUGCUGAUGAUCCUGGUCAGAUGCUCUACAUGCUGAGCAGGUCAGAUCGCUCCAUUCACACCCAGACCUGAGCUCGCGGCCUUGUCCUCAGCUGGGAACGCCAAUAAACCAAAGAGCUGGGGAGGAAAAUGGCUUCCCGUCCGACUGCUUAAGCCUUUCAACAAUCUGUGCCAUGGCUAGUGGUGGAGAGUUAGCACAGAGCUUGUGGCCGAACACAGAUUCUGCGUUGGUUGUUAUAAAGGGUUUCACACUUUGUUUCCACUAAAAGGAGCUUCUUUUCUCCAAAAAAAAAAACGGCAGUUCUGUGUAGCAAAGAUGCUAAAAUGAAUAUCAUCUGUCCAACUUUUUAAUAUUGUGUUCCUGGUGCCUGUGAUUGAAGCAAACACUUUGGAACUGCCUUCUGUUUUAAUUUACUCCUUUUACGUCGUCUCGUUCAGGCGCGUGCUUCGUAUCACAAUGACUUAUUGUGAUGGUGUGACGGUUUUCGUCUGGUGUGUAAUUUCAGGCUGUUCGGUGGGCUGUGUGAGGUUUUCAGGAGAUAAAGACACAAUAUUUUCAUAAUUGCUUUUUUUUUUUUGUUUUUUAAAUCACUCACAACGUGCAGCCUCAAAUGCAGACCUCCAUAGAGAUUUAAUUAAACGGCACCUGAAGAUGUACGUAAUGAAACUGUGAAUGUAGCCUCCAAGAUACAAUAGGCCAAUAAUAAACUGUAAUGACAUUCCUAAAGACCUAGAGACCAAUGUUUGCACUAGUCUUGGAUAAUAAUAACAAAUUUUAAAUACAUUGUUUUACGCUCGGAAAUUGAUAGUGGACAGUUUCUUUACAUCUUUAGGUGAUGUGUAAUUUUUGACUUGGCUCUUUUCGUCGAACAUCGAGUUGAUUCACAUGGGUGAAUUUGCUUCUCCUUUCGAAUUUUUACAGUUAUUUAAAUAUAUUCUAUAUGAAGCGGUUCAAAGUAAUGCUAUCUAGUUCAUUUCAAAUAAUUUUAGCGAUAUCUAGGCAAAGAAGAGCAAUCGCCCAAUGAGUCGUUUGAGAGUCGACUCUUAUUCGCGAGAUGAGUCGAAUAAUCUGAUUCACUGAAAAGAGCGGGAAAGAUUCUCAUCUGCUGUGCAAGUUUCACCCCUCCCCCACACGCGUUCAGGUUUGCCAUUGGCCAAUCAGACGUCAAAGCUGAAUGCCUGCUGGAAAAGGGGCGGGGUUUACUGCCUGAGGUAAAUAACUGUUGAGCAUUGAUUUUAAAUGAACUCUUAGCAUUUAGCUGGUUCUUUCCACCUGCUGCUGUUUCAUUAUUUUUUUUUAUGUGUUUUGGUUUUUAAUUGCUCAGCAGUUUAAUUUUUGUGUGAAAACAAACUGUGUGAAACUAGGUUUCAUUGUUAACAUACUCAUAUUAUUAAAAAUAAUAAUACUCAUUCAUUGUUUUGUCAUAUCACAUAGCUCCCCUAUGUUAUUUAAAACCAACUAAACUGUUCUUUCUGAAUGCAAAAUCUGUGGCUUGUAAAAUCUGUGUAUAUGUAUUUUUUUUUUUUUUAAACUUUCCCGAAAGUAUGGCAGCAUAAUGACUUGUUAAAAUGGUAGAGCGAGUAUUAUAUUUGAAACUUUCUCUCUACCUCUUACCCUACAUUCACACAAAAUAGCAUGCAGGCAUUCGUGUCCCGAUUGUGUGAGGAACAAAAUGUGAGACGCGACGUGACGCUUGAAUUAAGAUAUUUUUGAUUUGCAUGAAUGACCCACGCUAUAAACAUGUAGUCUGAGAUCUUUUCAGUUCCCCACAACCUUAGUUUGCAUUUAGUUUAGUACAAAAAUGAUUUUGUCGAAUCCUGUUAUAUACAAUCUCUUCUUAAAUCUGUAUAUCUGUUUCUAGCUACCACCUUUUUACAUCGUAACGAAUGGAAAAAUGCUGGACAGUGCACACCCCCAAGUGACAACAGUAAUGGUUGCUACAUGCCCACAAGAGACAAACUACAAUAGAUACAAGCAGGUUACUUUGUGAAUGUAAGGUUCAGAUGAUCGUAAUUUUUUUUUGCAAUUUUUAAAACUGGGCCUAGAUGACAAACACCUCAGACACAGUGGUCCACAGCACAGUUUUUGUUUUUUCUUGGUUGUUUUUUUUUUUUUUGUUUUAAUGUGGAACUGUACCACUAAUUUUAAGCUGAGAGAUCUGUACAAGUUUUAACUAGCCAUGUGAAUUUUUCUUUAAAAAAUAGAAAAUACUUUACUUUUUUUUUCUUUUCUUCUACUUUUACAGAAGGGUUGUGCCAUUUGCAAUAUGCAUUUCUUUUUUGUUCCAUCCAAUAAACCAAACAUGUUGUACACAUGAA